GGGCACUAGCUAUGUAAGUCGCUCUGGAUAAGAGAGUCUGCUAAAUGACGUAAA
rfam:Salmo salar isolate Sally breed double haploid chromosome ssa01, whole genome shotgun sequence.